rnacentral:lncRNA from 1 species
GUUUCACUUACAUCAGUUUUGGGAGAAACCAAGAGGAGAGCCAAGUGAAGAGAAUCGGAUUUUCUGUAGAGUUAUGUCCUUCAAUCUAAGGUGAUCCUGAGUAGUAGGUGGUGGCUCAACUGUCUAGGGCUCUGAUACGUACGGGAUGGGAAUUAGUUAUAUUUAUUUUCAUUCCUUAUGUAUCAAUUUUGGAAUUAUGAUGUGGAGCCUUUUUAUUGUUAUUUGAACAAUGUUGUUGACUUUAUGCUGAUGCCUUUAGUGCCAUAA